CUGGAGUGACUCUAGCCUAAUGGAGGCCAGUCUCUGUCAGCCAGAGCAUGCGGGCUGGCAGUGGCCUGGUUCCUUUGUCUGGCCAGUCAGUCAUCUUUCUAACAGACACUUGGCUUCUCCAGUGUAUGUCAGAGAUGCAGACAGCUGGUUCAGGAUGGCCUGCCUGGCUUCCCCCAGCACCACACUCUGCUGUAUAGGACAUGGCUUCUUUUGAUCGGUGACAGCUUGAACUGAGAAAAUCACGUGGCUCAGGCCUUGCUCUCAGCCUGUAUGUGCCAGGGCUCGAAGGGGCCAUGCACUUCUGCUGUUCUUAUUAGUGUGACAUCAGAGAUCAGAAGGCAGUUUUCAGGGGGUCACAUCUCUGCCUUCUUGGUUAGUUGGCAAAAAAUUAUAGCAUUAUCAAAACUGGCCUUCCCUGACUGCCCGGAAGGUAUGGUGACCAUACACUGUGAAUCUGGUCAGCCUUGUCAACCUUUCCAGCCAUGAGCUCUACAGCUGGACCUUGCUCCCCAGGCAUGCCUCGGGGACAAUAUGGACAUGUGGCAGAACACCUGCCUUAGGUGUGUAUAGAUUGAACUGGGAACACCCGUGCCUUCUACCCCAUGCUCACCCAGUAAGCUUCCAGUGGAUGAUAGCUGCUUGUGCGUUGGUAUUUCAGUUUGACACUAUGUACAGACUUUAAAAG
rnacentral:lncRNA from 1 species